UACAGAGGUCUCAAGCGUUGUUCGGAAUCACUGGGCGUAAAGGGUGCGUAGGCCGCACGGUAAGUCAGAGGUGAAAUCCCGGAGCUCAACUUCGGAAUUGCCUCCGAUACUGCCGUGCUUGAGGACUGGAGAGGAGUCUGGAAUUCACAGUGGAGCAGUGAAAUGCGUAGAUAUCAAGAGGAACACCGGUGGCGAAGGCGGCCUUCUGGGCAUUACCUGACGCUGAGGAGCGAAAGUGUGGGGAGCGAACAGG
rnacentral:rRNA from 1 species